rnacentral:tmRNA from 1 species
GGGGCUGUUCUGGAUUCGACAGGGUAGUACGAGUUUAAUAAGCAUGCCAUCGGUAGAUGUAAAAAUGCACGAUUAUAAUAAUCGGAAACCAAAAUUACGCUUACGUAGCUUAAGAAGAAGCUAUGGAUUCAUUGAGUGGUGCCUAUUACACUUUUUGAAUUUCAGAUAAUAGGAUAGUGUUACCGCCUGCAUUCUUAAGGUUGUGAUGCGAAAUUAAUAAGGAUAGAUGUAUAGUAGUCUGUUGGCUAGCAGCUAUACUUUGAAACAAACUAGUUAACUAAGCAUGUAGAAAUUUAAAUAAUCAGCUAUUUUGGACAGGGGUUCAAAUCCCCUCAGCUCCACCA